UACGUAGGGUGCAAGCGUUUAAUCGGAAUUACUGGGCGUAAAGCGUGCGCAGGCGGUUUGUAAGUUUGUCGUGAAAUCCCCGGGCUUAACCUGGGAAUUGCAUUUGUGACUGCACGGCUAGAGUGUGUCAGAGGGGGGUAGAAUUCCACGUGUAGCAGUGAAAUGCGUAGAUAUGUGGAGGAAUACCGAUGGCGAAGGCCAGCCCCCUGGGAUAACACUGA
rnacentral:rRNA from 1 species